rnacentral:rRNA from 1 species
UACGUAGGGGCAAGCGUUGUCCGGAAUCAUUGGGCGUAAGAGCGUGUAGGCGGUUCGGUAAGUCGGCUGUGAAAGUCCAGGCUCAACCCUGGGAUGCCGGUCGAUACUGCCGGACUAGAGUUCGGAAGAGGCGAGUGGAAUUCCCGGUGUAGCGGUGAAAUGCGCAGAUAUCGGGAGGAACACCUAUGGCGGAAGGCAGCUCGCUGGGACGUACUGACGCUG